UGCCCAGUAGCGGCGAGUGAAGCGGCAAAAGCUCAGAUUUGGAAUCGCUUCGGCGAGUUGUGAAUUGCAGGUUGGCGCCUCUGCGGCGGCGGCGGUCCAAGUCCCUUGGAACAGGGCGCCAUUGAGGGUGAGAGCCCCGUGGGACCGUUUGCCUACGCUCUGAGGCCCUUCUGACGAGUCGAGUUGUUUGGGAAUGCAGCUCUAAGCGGGUGGUAAAUUCCAUCUAAGGCUAAAUACUGGCGAGAGACCGAUAGCGAACAAGUACUGUGAAGGAAAGAUGAAAAGCACUUUGAAAAGAGAGUGAAACAGCACGUGAAA
rnacentral:rRNA from 1 species